rnacentral:rRNA from 1 species
UGGGGAAUAUUGGACAAUGGGCGCAAGCCUGAUCCAGCCAUGCCGCGUGUGUGAAGAAGGCCUUUUGGUUGUAAAGCACUUUAAGCGAGGAGGAGGCUACUUGGAUUAAUACUCUAGGAUAGUGGACGUUACUCGCAGAAUAAGCACCGGCUAACUCUGUGCCAGCAGCCGCGGUAAUACAGAGGGUGCGAGCGUUAAUCGGAUUUACUGGGCGUAAAGCGUGCGUAGGCGGCUUCUUAAGUCGGAUGUGAAAUCCCUGAGCUUAACUUAGGAAUUGCAUUCGAUACUGGGGAGCUAGAGUAUGGGAGAGGAUGGUAGAAUUCCAGGUGUAGCGGAGAAAUGCGUAGAGAUCUGGAGGAAUACCGAUGGCGAAGGCAGCCAUCUGGCCUAAUACUGACGCUGAGGUACGAAAGCAUGUGGAGCAAACAGG